rnacentral:rRNA from 1 species
UGGGGAAUAUUGGACAAUGGGCGAAAGCCUGAUCCAUCAAUGCCGCGUGAGUGAUGAAGGCCCUAGGGUUGUAAAGCUCUUUUACCCGGGAAGAUAAUGACUGUACCGGGAGAAUAAGCCCCGGCUAACUCCGUGCCAGCAGCCGCGGUAAUACGGAGGGGGCUAGCGUUGUUCGGAAUUACUGGGGGUAAAGCGCAGGUAGGGGGCUUUGUAAGUCAGAGGUGAAAGCCUGGAGCUCAACUCCAGAACUGCCUUUGAGACUGCAUCGCUUGAAUCCAGGAGAGGUCAGUGGAAUUCCGAGUGUAGAGGUGAAAUUCGUAGAUAUUCGGAAGAACACCAGUGGCGAAGGCGGCUGACUGGACUGGUAUUGCCGUUGAGGUGGGAAAGCGUGGGGACCAACCAGGAUUAGAUACCCUGGUAGUCCACCCCGUAAACGAUGAUAACUAGCUGU